CCUACGGGUGGCUGCAGUGAGGAAUAUUGGUCAAUGGGAGAGAUCCUGAACCAGCCAAGCCGCGUGAGGGAAGACGGCCCUAUGGGUUGUAAACCUCUUUUGUCGGAGAACAAAACCCGGGACGUGUCCCUUACUGCGUGUAUCCUAUGAAAAAGCAUCGGCUAACUCCGUGCCAGCAGCCGCGGUAAUACGGAGGAUGCGAACGUUAUCCGGAUUUAUUGGGUUUAAAGGGUGCGUAGGCGGUCCGUUAAGUCAGAGGUAAAAUGGCGGGGCUCAACCCCGGCGAGCCGUUGAAACUGGCAGACUUGAGUUGGCGAGAAGUAGGCGGAAUGGGCGGUGUAGCGGUGAAAUGCAUAGAUA
rnacentral:rRNA from 1 species